UUAGAUUCAGAUUCAGACAACUUUAUUUAUCCCGCAAGGGGCAAUUCAUAUGUAGCUUUCCCAGUGUACAUUCAUGCAUACAUCAGAGAACAACAUCAUCAUUGUCAAUGAAACAUAUUAAGAGCAUGGGACAGAGAAGAAGCUACGGUAAAAGCAAAAAUACAAAAGCAAUAAAUUAAACAAUAAAUAAAACAACCUAAAAAUUUUCUCUAAAAGUCAUUUAAAACGGGUGCGGUCUGUGUUCAGCAGCUUAAUAGCAGAAGGAACAUGUGGUAAGGACAAGUGGUGAGCAUACAUGGUUAGGACAGGUGGUGACAGGUGGUGAGGACAGGUGGUAAGAACAGGUGGUAAGAACAGGUGGUGGGAACAGGUGGUGAGGACAGUUGGUAAGAACAGGUGGUAAGAACAGGUGGUGAGGACAGGUGGUAAGAACAGGUGGUAAGAACAGGUGGUGAGGACAGGUGGUGAGGACAGGUGGUAAGAACAGGUGGUAAGAACAGGUGGUGAGGACAGGUGGUGAGAACAGGUGGUGAGGACAGGUGGUGAGGACAGGUGGUGAGAACAGGUGGUGAGGACAGGUGGUGGGAACAUGUGGUGAGGACAGUUGGUAAGAACAGGUGGUGAGGACAGGUGGUGAGGACAGGUGGUGAGAACAGGUGGUGGGAACAUGUGGUGAGGACAGGUGGUGAGAACAGGUGGUGAGGACAGGUGGUGAGGACAGGUGGUGAGAACAGGUGGUGAGGACAGGUGGUGAGGACAGGUGGUGAGAACAGGUGGUGAGGACAGUUGGUAAGAACAGGUGGUAAGAACAGGUGGUGAGGACAGGUGGUGAGGACAGGUGGUAAGAACAGGUGGUGAGGACAGGUGGUGAGGACAGGUGGUGAGAACAGGUGGUGGGAACAGGUGGUGAGGACAGUUGGUAAGAACAGGUGGUGAGGACAGGUGGUGAGGACAGGUGGUAAGAACAGGUGGUGAGGACAGUUGGUAAGAACAGGUGGUAAGAACAGGUGGUGAGGACAGGUGGUGAGGACAGGUGGUGAGGACAGGUGGUGGGAACAGGUGGUGAGGACAGGUGGUAAGAACAGGUGGUGAGAACAGGUGGUGAGGACAGGUGGUGAGGACAGGUGGUGAGCACACAUGGUGAGGACAGGUGGUGAGGACAGAUGGUGAGGACAGUCGGGAAGGACAGGCAGUGAGGACACAUGAUGAGGACGUGGUGAGAAUUGACCAAUCAACAGUUAAUAUCUAAAAUAAUCAAUAAGGAUAAUAUGUUCUAGUUACUGUGUUCAUCACAUGAUUGUUACAUGUUCGUCACAUGAACGGCGGGAGUUUGUCGAGUAACGUGAGGUGAUGCCAUGCUGUGAUGGUUGAUGGUU